rnacentral:rRNA from 1 species
UAGGGAAUCUUCGGCAAUGGGGGGAACCCUGACCGAGCAACGCCGCGUGAGUGAAGAAGGUUUUCGGAUCGUAAAGCUCUGUUGUUAAGGAAGAACGAGUGUGAGAAUGGAAAGUUCAUACUGUGACGGUACUUAACCAGAAAGGGACGGCUAACUACGUGCCAGCAGCCGCGGUAAUACGUAGGUCCCGAGCGUUGUCCGGAUUUAUUGGGCGUAAAGCGAGCGCAGGCGGUUAGAAAAGUCUGAAGUGAAAGGCAGUGGCUCAACCAUUGUAGGCUUUGGAAACUGUUUAACUUGAGUGCAGAAGGGGAGAGUGGAAUUCCAUGUGUAGCGGUGAAAUGCGUAGAUAUAUGGAGGAACACCGGUGGCGAAAGCGGCUCUCUGGUCUGUAACUGACGCUGAGGCUCGAAAGCGUGGGGAGCGAACAGGAUUAGAUACCCUGGUAGUCCACGCCGUAACGAUGAGUGCUAGGUGUUAGAUCCUUUCCGGGAUUCAGUGCCGCAGCUAACGCAUUAAGCACUCCGCCUGGGGAGUACGACCGCAAGGUU